rnacentral:rRNA from 1 species
UGGGGAAUAUUGCACAAUGGGCGGAAGCCUGAUGCAGCAACGCCGCGUGCGGGAUGACGGCCUUCGGGUUGUAAACCGCUUUCGCCUGUGACGAAGCGUGAGUGACGGUAAUGGGUAAAGAAGCACCGGCUAACUACGUGCCAGCAGCCGCGGUGAUACGUAGGGUGCGAGCGUUGUCCGGAUUUAUUGGGCGUAAAGGGCUCGUAGGUGGUUGAUCGCGUCGGAAGUGUAAUCUUGGGGCUUAACCCUGAGCGUGCUUUCGAUACGGGUUGACUUGAGGAAGGUAGGGGAGAAUGGAAUUCCUGGUGGAGCGGUGGAAUGCGCAGAUAGCAGGAGGAACACCAGUGGCGAAGGCGGUUCUCUGGGCCUUUCCUGACGCUGAGGAGCGAAAGCGUGGGGAGCGAACA